CACGGGGGGGGUAAGCGUUGUUCGGAAUUACUGGGCGUAAAGGGCUCGUAGGCGGCCAACUAAGUCGGACGUGAAAUCCCUCAGCUUAACUGGGGAACUGCGUCUGAUACUGGAUGGCUUGGAUUUGGGAGAGGGAUGCGGAAUUCCAGGUGUAGCGGUGAAAUGCGUAGAUAUCUGGAGGAACACCGGUGGCGAAGGCGGCAUCCUGGACCAACAUUGACGCUGAGGAGCGAAAGCCAGGGGAGCAAACGGG
rnacentral:rRNA from 1 species